ensembl:lncRNA
GGGAACGGUAUUAAAGCAGCAGAUAUCAAGGAGCAGGGCCGCAGCAGCAGUAGCUCAUCCAAAGCAAUAACAACGCAUGAAGGCAAGCCAUGGCAACUGAAGGAAGGCUGGAAUCUAGCAUACCCAUGGUCUUGUUCUUAUUAUUACAACACAGCGUGACUAAAAAUAUCAAACCAAACAAAAGAAAUUCCUGCAGGCAAGGGGUAAGAGAGGAGGCCGACCACUGCUGGAAAUGGAACUUAUUGUUCACCUAAGUAGUGCAGCGGGGAACAGAAAUCACAGAAGCAAAGGCCAAGAUCAACAGCAGGAGGAGCACUGGAAGUAACAACAAUGUUCCUGAACAAGGAGCACAGACUCCAGAAGGGUUCCUUGAUCAAAAAUAAGAUGGUACAUCGCCUUAGAGGGCAGUCAUCUGGAUCUGAAGCAAGAGUGAAUGACUCUCCCUGGACUUCUGGGGGGAAUACAGGCAUCUAGUGAUGGCACUGUUUCUUUCCAAGUCUAUUUCUUGAGUAAAAAUCCUCUCUCUGAAACCUCCAUACGUAGUGCCAGAAAUGAACCAUUACACGUCGGGGCAGCACACAACUCCUCAGUGCACACAUACACACACACAAGCUGAUUUGUGCUUAUACCACAGAUAGCUCCAUCAGUCCAAUUCAAUUUCAAGAUGCACAUCAGCUCUAUUAGUUUAGGUGAUGCACUGGUCAGGUACCCUAUAUUCAGUGACUGCGUGGUGCCCAUUUCUGAAGCUACCAAACAGUCUAAGCAGAUUUUUCGUUUGUUUGUUUUGUUAAAGAAAUACUGUGAGGAAAUAAGCCAAUCUGCAGUGAGAAAAAGCUACCUUAUCAGGUUACAGCAACUAAAAACUCUGUAUGGAGGAAGAAGUUUAGGGAUUACAUUUCUAGAGGAAGUGGAGGCUACUCAUUUUGGUUAGGAGCCUAUUCCUUCCAAUAGUUACACAUGAAAUUCAGUUAAGUGAUAGUUACUUCUGUAUGCACACACUUUGAUACAAGUGACCCCAAAGUACCCACAGGUGGGCACGUGAACAUUAAGUGACCCAGUGGUGGGAACUCACUAAAAGAGCUGUUUUUCAGCUCAAAACUGUGCAGCACGUGGAGGCUAUAAAAGUGUACUACAACAAAAACACUAAACUGUAUUGCGUGGUUAAUACACGCCAUCACAGUGAAGCCCUGUAAUGCAUCCUUUGCCACUUUUUCUCAUAUUAUGAGAAUACUUUUUAAGGGCUUCAUCAUCCCCAGCAGCAGAAACUGCCUUCUGGAAAGAACAAGACCCGAAGCAUUAUCUGACAGUAUCUGUUCACCUGCAGAGUAUGUGCAUGAAAGGCAACAACACAACUCUGCUCCUUUGGACGUGAGAUGGGGCAAUUAAGAGAAGAGAAUACUCAGUAAAUCUCCAGAGCAAUUCCUUUCUCAGCCCUUCUGCUAAGUAUUCAGAUUGGAAAAAGAUUUUCAGAAUUACACGGGGAGGAGUCCAAAAUUCAGUUGAUCAACAGCCAGUGAUUCAGAUAUUAAAUUUUUUGUGAUCCAUCGCUUCAUCUCUCUCUGAGAUUGCCUCAUGGGGAAACACUACAAAAUAAAACUUCAAUACUACCAUAAGCUCCAAAUAAAGCUUUUCUCUUUGAUUGCCUCUAUCUCAUCUGUCUGCUUAGAUUUGUGUGUCUAGUUAAGUGAAUACAGAAGACCAUACACUUGAAAUGAAAACUACACAGAGUACACUCUUGACUUGUUACCAUAAUUUACCUUCUAAGUGGAACCUCUUAUGAGCCUACUCAAUUAUAUUAAAAAUGACUGUGCGUUUAUUUCGACACAGUGUACACACUGAAACACGCAUUCUAAAAUCCCGAGCUGAUGUAAAAUUGCAGAGCCUCAUCAAAAUGCAGAGGGCAUUCCUGAUUUACACCAGCACAUGCAGGGCCCCCAGAACCUUUCACACCGCAACACUUUUCCCGUGGGGAGCAAUACCAGUGCUAAGCAAUAAAAAGAAGUUGGUUUUAUAUCUAAUGUUGAUUUCUUCUCCAAUCUGAGACUUUAUUUCAUGCUUUUUCGUGCAACAAUACCUUGAAUGCACGGCAGAUUUACACUGAAAAACAGAGUUUAAAAAUACUUGUUAAAUGCUGAAGGCUUGACAGUUCCUUUAAAUAAUACUGAAAAAAUGCACGAGAACAUUUUGGUAGUGGAAUGAAAAAUGCUACGGUUUACAGCUCUA